rnacentral:rRNA from 1 species
CAGCAGCCACGGUAAUACGAAGGGUGCAAGCGUUAAUCGGAAUUACUGGGCGUAAAGCGUACGCAGGCGGUUUGUUAAGUCAGAUGUGAAAUCCCCGAGCUUAACUCGGGAACUGCAUUUGAAACUGGCAGGCUAGAGUCUCGUAGAGGGGGGUAGAAUUCCAGGUGUAGCGGUGAAAUGCGUAGAGAUCUGGAGGAAUACCGGUGGCGAAGGCGGCCCCCUGGACGAACACUGACGCUGAGGCACGAAAGCGUGGGGAGCAAACAGGAUUAGAUACCCCUGUAGUCCCUGUCUCUUAUAC